rnacentral:tRNA from 2 species
GUGGGCGUGGCCUAGCGGCUAAGGCAUCAGGCUGUGGACCUGAGGAGCGCGGGUUCGAGUCCCGUCGCCCACCCCA